UACAGAGACUGCAAGCGUUAUUCGGAUUCACUGGGCGUAAAGGGCGCGCAGGCGGCCGCGCAAGUCGAGUGUGAAAGCCCCGAGCUUAACUUGGGAAUUGCGCUCGAAACUACGUGGCUGGAGUGUGGCAGAGGAAGGUGGAAUUCCACGUGUAGCGGUGAAAUGCGUAGAGAUGUGGAGGAACACCGAUGGCGAAGGCAGCCUUCUGGGCCAACACUGACGCUCAUGCACGAAAGCGUGGGGAGCAAACAGG
rnacentral:rRNA from 1 species